UCUAGGAGGGAAGGGGCCUUGGAUCUGUGCCCCGCCCAUGGAACAGCGCCCGGGCUCGGAGAGGCCCCGCGAGGCCGCAGGCGCAGACCCUCCCGGAGGGCUGGGCGGGCACCGGGGUCUUCGGCUGGCUUGAGGGACCCGACCCCUGGGGGAGGAAUUUGGGGUCUGUGUGUCCGAAUGAACGCGGGGGUUCAGAUGAGUCUGUGGUGCCCCCGCUUUCCAUCUCCUCCGGCCCCGGCCCCAGAGGACUGUCUGAGAGGCCGGUGGCCGCGGAUCCUGGACGCGCCUCCCUCCUGCCUGUGGUUUCCCUUUAUUCCGGCAGCGGCGCGAGCCCACCCUUCACAUACAGGAGCUACAUCCAGAAGCUUCUCCUGGGGCCACAGCGUGGGCUUCCGAGACUCUGCGUGACCCCAGCUCUGCCCCUUUGGGGCUGCGGGUGAAGCCCUCAGGACCCUCCGCGUGCGUUGGGCAGGUGCACACAUUGUCUGCCCAGAGAGGGCCAAGAUGCCCCAGGCACCCCUUCGCUCCGGGGGCUCAGGACACAGGCUCCCAGCUGAGGCCACGCCUGGACCCAGAGCUGAUGUUUGGCUGCACGCGAGCCCACUCGGGACAGACCCAAGAACACGAAUUCUCUCCCUUUGGAUUUAAGGCUGGUGUUUUUUGACAUUUACUUCAGUUUUUCUCUCUGAAAUUAAAAUUACCUGAGUAAAA
rnacentral:lncRNA from 1 species